rnacentral:rRNA from 1 species
GAUCCGCUGCCGAGAGUCGUUAUGAUAAUGGGAGAUUGCAUGGCAUCCCACGCACGCACCAUGUCUGGGGUGGUGAGAGCAUCGCUCUCUUGUUCAACGUUCCUUGGCGCCAGGAUUCCACGGGCGCCGGGAGCGUUCGUUGUGCCGCCGAGAAUGCCCAACGAACGCUCCCGGCGCCCGUGGAAUCCUGGCGCCAAGGAACGAUUGAACAAGAGAGCGAUGCUCUCACCACCCCAGACAUGGUGCGUGCGUGGGAUGCCAUGCAAUCUCCUCAUUAUUCAUAACGACUCUCGGCAACGGAUAUCUCGGCAGGUUCUCGCAUCGAUGAAGAACGCAGCAA